rnacentral:rRNA from 1 species
GACGAACGCUGGCGGCGUGCUUAACACAUGCAAGUCGAACGGUAAGGCCCUUCGGGGUACACGAGUGGCGAACGGGUGAGUAACACGUGGGUGAUCUGCCCUGCACUUCGGGAUAAGCCUGGGAAACUGGGUCUAAUACCGGAUAUGACUACAGGCUUCAUGGUUUGUGGUGGAAAGCUUUUGCGGUGUGGGAUGGGCCCGCGGCCUAUCAGCUUGUUGGUGAGGUUACGGCUCACCAAGGCGACGACGGGUAGCCGGCCUGAGAGGGUGUCCGGCCACACUGGGACUGAGAUACGGCCCAGACUCCUACGGGAGGCAGCAGUGGGGAAUAUUGCACAAUGGGCGCAAGCCUGAUGCAGCGACGCCGCGUGGGGGAUGACGGCCUUCGGGUUGUAAACCUCUUUCAGUACAGACGAAGCGCAAGUGACGGUAUGUACAGAAGAAGCACCGGCCAACUACGUGCCAGCAGCCGCGGUAAUACGUAGGGUGCGAGCGUUGUCCGGAAUUACUGGGCGUAAAGAGCUCGUAGGUGGU